GUUAGGAAUAUUGGACAAUGGGCGCAAGCCUGAUCCAGCCAUGCCGCGUGAGUGAUGAAGGCCUUCGGGUUGUAAAGCUCUUUAGCCGAUGAUUAUAAUGACUGUAGUCGGAAAAUAAGCCCCGGCUAACUUCGUGCCAGCAGCCGCGGUAAUACGAAGGGGGCGAGCGUUAUUCGGAAUCACUGGGCGUAAAGCGUGCGUAGGCGGCUUUGCAAGGUGGGAGUGAAAGCCCAGGGCUCAACCCUGGAAUUGCUCUCAAAACUGCAAGGCUCGAAUUCGGGAGAGGAUAGCGGAAUUGUCAGUGUAGCAGUGAAAUGCGUAGAUAUUGACAGGAACACCAGUGGCGUAAGCGGCUAUCUGGACGAGUAUUGACGCUGAGGCACGAAAGCGUGGGGAUCAAACAGGAUUAGAUACCCCAGUAGUCC
rnacentral:rRNA from 1 species